UACGGGGGGGGUAAGCGUUGUCCGGAUUUAUUGGGCGUAAAGAGCGUGUAGGCGGCCAGGUAGGUCCGUUGUGAAAACUCGAGGCUUAACCUCGAGACGUCGAUGGAAACCAUCUGGCUAGAGUCCGGAAGAGGAGAGUGGAAUUCCUGGUGUAGCGGUGAAAUGCGCAGAUAUCAGGAAGAACACCCGUGGCGAAGGCGGCUCUCUGGGACGGUACUGACGCUGAGACGCGAAAGCGUGGGGAGCGAACAGG
rnacentral:rRNA from 1 species